rnacentral:rRNA from 1 species
UACGUAGGUGGCAAGCGUUAUCCGGAAUUAUUGGGCGUAAAGAGAACGCAGGCGGUCUUUUAAGUCUGAUGUGAAAGCCUUCGGCUUAACCGGAGUAGUGCAUUGGAAACUGGGAGACUUGAGUGCAGAAGAGGAGAGUGGAACUCCAUGUGUAGCGGUGAAAUGCGUAGAUAUAUGGAAGAACACCAGUGGCGAAAGCGGCUCUCUGGUCUGUAACUGACGCUGAGGUUCGAAAGCGUGGGUAGCAAACAGG